rnacentral:misc_RNA from 1 species
GAUGAGGAACGUAGCGAAAUGCGAUAAUUAAUGUGAAUUGCAGAAUUCCGUGAAUCAUCGAGUCUUUGAACGCACAUUGCGCCUCAUGGCAUUCCGUGAGGCAUGCCCAUCUCAGCGUUAGAAAAUAUUCUCAAAUUUUAGUUUUGUGCUAAAAUUUGGAUCAUGUCAAGGAAGCUAUUACUAUUAUUGUGAUCGCUCUUUGGAAAUUGAUAGGUCUUUGAGUUGCUACUCAUAGAACGUGAUGAAUCUUUCUUCGUUCUAUUGUAAUUCACUCUGGUAGUCCUAAAACUUGUAUGCCUGUGGCAUAUCUUGUAAUUUGACCUGAGAUUGGGUAGGGAUACCCGCUGAACUUAAGCAUAUCAAUAAGCGGAGGA